GAUGAAGAACGUAGCAAAAUGCGAUACUUGGUGUGAAUUGCAGAAUCCCGUGAACCAUCGAGUUUUUGAACGCAAGUUGCGCCCGAAACCAUCCGGUUGAGGGCACGCCUGCCUGGGUGUCACGCAUCGCGUCGUCCCCCAACAUACUCUCCCUUUCUGGGUUGUCAUGUUGAUUGGGGACGGAGACUGGCCUCCCGUGCUUCUGGUGCGGUUGGCCUAAAUAGGAGGCCCCUUCGGUGGAUACACGGAUAGUGGUGGUUGUUAAGACCCUCGUAUUGUGCUGUGUGUUGUGAGCUGUUAGGGAAACCCUCACCAAAGACCCUAUUGUAUCGUCUUGGUACGAUGCUUCGACCGCGACCCCAGGUCAGGCGGGACUACCCGCUGAGUUUAAGCAUAUCAAUAAGCGGAGGA
rnacentral:misc_RNA from 1 species